AUGUUGUUCCUGUUUUUAAUUGUUAUUUUUCUGCUCAAAGAGAAUGCUGACGCAAAUACAAUAAACCCACUUGUCCCAGAGAAGCACGUCACAGCAGGAGACAACGUUACCCUCACCUGUGAUUACAGUGGACGUGUUAACACCUUGCAGUGGUAUCGACAAUAUCCAGGAACUCGAAAAGAGUUCCUUAUUUUUGUUACUGAGCUCAGUGGCCGGUCAGAGCCUACACUUCGACUUUCAUCUGUGGCUGAUAAACGUAAUAAACACAUGAAUCUCAGCAUCUUUCAGACAGAGAUGGAAGAUUCUGCACUGUACUACUGUGCCCUGGUGCCCACAGUGAUGGAAACACUGCAACACUGUACAAAAACCUGA